UUUAUUUUACAGGUUUGAAGCUUAUCUUGCUGGGGGAUGUUUGAGAUUUUCUACACAAAAGGGCACCUAAAGAUGUUGAACUGAUCCGUACUGCAAGGCUCAUGCAUGUUUUGGCUCAUGCAGAUAUCACAUGUGUUUCUUUUUGCAAAUUCUCAGAUGCCAUUGUUCCAUUGAACUGAUUGUUUGCAGACUGAUUGUCUGCAAAUUCUCACAUGUGUUGAACUGAUUGUUUGCAGACUAAAAAUUUGUUUUUCAAUUAUGUUCAUCAAGUGAUUCCAAUGUGCCAUGAUAAGAUGCGCAACUCAACAUUUGAGGUUUCUUACUCAUAGGAUUAUCACAUCUUGAAUUCUGGUUCUUAGAGUUUUUGUUUCCAACCCUUAUUUGCUUGUCUUGUCUUUUGUUCUUACGGGUUUCAAUCUUCAUCACACAUCUUCUGUAGGAAAUCUUGUACUUAAAAUGUAGAAAAAUGUCCCUAACUUUGUUGUAAUGCUUGUAUGGCAGCCUAUUCUGUAAUCUGUUCAAUUACAGAGUUUAUGAUCAUGUGAAUGAAGCAAGGGAUCUGAGAAAAAAGGUAAUAGCACUUUACUUCCCAGGCAGAUUUGACAUAUCCUCGUUUACUUCCCUCUUCUCUUCUGACUAACUCCUUAAAUCAUCAACAUGUGUGUACAGUUAUUCCUGCCCAUGUUUAUGUCAAGGAGCAUCACCGUAUGUGUUCAAGAAAUGCCAUUGAUUGUAUUAUCAUUAUUAUCUGUCACAAAUUUGGAUUCUAAAUUCUUUCAGAAUUCGAUUAUCUUGGAUUGAGACCUGCUGCACUGAGCGUAAGUAGAUUUAAGGAGAUUGAUAUUGAAAAUAGUUGGCUUCAUUAUGCAAUUGACUGAAAACAACUGUACUUUCACCUCGAGCUACUAAAAUGAUGCUCCUUCAUUAGAAUUCUAUCAUGUUAUCUCACCUUUUGGUCAGAAAAAUGAAAAAAAAAAUGCAUCUUCGGUAUUUAGUUUGACACCUAUUUGUUUUCUUUCCAGCUUCAUCAUGUGCUUCCGAAAUAGCCCUGACAUCUACAAUUUGGCAGUCAGAUGGUGAUCUGAAACUUAAAAUGGAGCAAAUGGCCAUGAGCUCUAAUAAAUAUGAGGUUUUCUAUCACAACAUACCUCAGCUGCAGCGAAAAGACAACAGAGCCAUGGGUGUCGAGGGCGGGCACUGGUGGUCGGCAGAAGGCACUGUGGAGGUGCUCGCUGCUUCCCGGCUCUACUUGCACGCCACCAGGUUCAGAAUUGGCAUGGACCUGGGCGCCGCCGCCUUUGCAGCUGCUCCCCGCUGCUCAGCUGCUCCCCGUGCACAUAAUUUAUUUUGUAGAGGAAGAAUAUGGUAACUUAAACAAUAUUACAUGUGAUGCCAUGUCACUGCAGUGAAGCAUUCUUUUUGACUAGCAGUGAAUAGGGUUACAGUUAGUGAAUAGGGUUACAGUUUGUGAACUGAGAUGUUUGUGUAGUUGCUGCACUUUUACAACUACUUCUGAUUAGUUGCGGAUGCAAUGAUGUUUAGCUUAUGUGGAAUAUUUUUGACUAGAAUCCUUGAUUGUGUAGUUGUUGCAUUUUUUUAACUUGAUUUAUUCAUGCUUCAUACACACCGGAGACAAUUUCAUCUAAGAAAAAUCAAGUUCUGAUUUGAAAAAUAAUAAUUAAGUUCUUGGCACAAUUAACAUUGGAUGACCUGCCUUGCUAUAUGUGUUAGUUAGGCUGGAUGGAGUAGGAUUAGUUAGUGGAUCAGACCCCGGAUUAUAUGUCCCCUUUUAUUGUGUACUAUAGUUUGAGAGUUUUCUGCAGAACUGAUGCUAUAACUUCAUAAACUACAGUUACAUGUAUAUCCGAGUCUGAAUCAGAUAAGUAACAGUGCUCAUGUGUAUUUAUGUAUCAAGAUUCACAUUUCCUUUAAUAGUUACUGAAGUUUGUUUUAUGGUAGGAAAACACAUACUCUAAAGCAGUAAAACGUUUCGAGUUCGAUGAUCAGCUUGGACACUACAAUUUGGAUUCUUUUGGAGACUGGGAACAACUUUCAAGCUACUUGUCACAAAGUUUCAUUGAACGCCUUGGUAAGUUUGAUGCAUUCUUCAUUUUUCUCGUACCCUUAAUAGUUACAGAGAAGCCUGUAUUUAAAACAUUUUUUAUAGAACCAACUAAUGAACUACUGGUUAUGUGUGUUUGAUUUGUACAGAGCCAA